GUGGAUGAGGAUGAGUAAGGCCAGUAGACUUCUUUCUCACGGGAAAGCCCAACCCAGUUUGAUUCUUUAGUGAAGCCCAGCCUUCACGCCAGAUUCUGUUCCAAGGACUCCGGCGAAAUUAGAUAUUGCUGAGCAAAAAUCCUCACCCUCACCGUUCCCGCGCCGAUGACGCUGCCGGAGAGUGUAUCCCUGCAUUAUUUUGAACUAAUUUCUUCAACUCAUGCUUCUGUUUCUUCCUCCACCUUCUUACGUUCUUCAAGACCUUUGACGAAUUGUACAAUUGUGAUGACUAGGAAGAUGACAUUCAGAAGUGGAAAUGCUCUGAGGUUAUGCUGCUCGGAUUCAAAUCAUUCUGCUCCUUUGACUUCCACGACUACGAUAGCCACGGGCGGCCCUGCUCCUCCGGUUCUGAAGAGGAGGAAGAGGUACAGGAGGGAGUAUCCUGGCGAGAGCAAAGGCAUUACUGAGGAGUUGAGGUUCGUCGCCAUGAGGCUUCAUAAUGUUAAUGGUAAAAAGUUGUCUGGUGAUGCUGUGGAUUCAUCCAGCGAAGAUGAAGUAGGGGAGGAAGAUGAUGGAAAUUUGGCGUUGAGUGACGAUGAAAAUGAUGAGAACGGGGAUGGAACACAGACUUGGCAACCGAGUUUAGAAGGAUUCCUUAAAUAUUUGGUUGAUAGUAAGCUCGUCUUCAGCACCGUGGAGCGAAUCGUUGAUGAAUCCGGCGACGUUGCUUAUAGUUACUUCAGAAAAUCAGGGUUGGAACGUUCAGAAUGUCUUGCAAAGGAUCUAGAAUGGUUUCGCGAACAGGGUAUUGUGAUACCCGAGCCUACCAUUCCUGGAGUUUCUUAUGCCAAGUAUCUGGAGGAACUUGCUGAGAGGAGUGCCCCUUUAUUCCUUUGCCAUUACUACAAUAUAUACUUUUCACAUAUAGCAGGUGGGCAAGUGAUAGCAAAACGGGUUUCUGAGAGACUUCUUGAAGGAAGAAAGCUUGAAUUCUAUACAUGGGCUGGGGAUGCAGAAGAAUUGCUGAAAAAUGUUCGUGAGAAGCUUAACAUGCUUGGAGAGCACUGGUCUCGGGAUGACAGAAAUAAAUGCUUGAGAGAAGCAACCAAGACAUUCCGCUUUUUGGGACAGAUAGUUCGUUUGAUCAUCUCAUGACUGGCUGUUUUAAAUGCUACAACUGUGAAGGUGUUCCUGGUAGCUGGUUUUCUUUAAAGUUGUGCUGGUACGUGUAAAGUUUCUGGAGGACUAAUAAUAACAGGGGUAGCAGUUGACAAUGCUCAGAAAAUGGCACUCUCUUUCAAUCAAUCAAAGUUGCAAUAAAUCUACAGAGUUGCCCCCAUUCAAAGGCUUUGAUACUCUGAUUGGUAAUGAAAAACAAAUCAGUGACUUUUGACAGUGGUGGCUGAAGGUAUGGAGCCAGUGACCUUCCCCAACUUGAGGAGCUAACCCCAUUAUUUUCAACAUUCCAUCAAAUACCAUCAGUUUAUCUUUUUCAGUCUUUGACAUCUGAUUAAGGAGAAUUUAGGCUGUGAAAGAGUGAAUUAUCCUUGUGAUAAUUCUCCAUUGAUUAUUCAUCUUGCACGGGUUUUCUAAAUCGUUCGGCCACAUGCUAAGCAAGAUUGCUACCGGUGGAGAAUCCCGACCUUGUCAACAUCCCUGAAGAUAUUCAUCGAAAAACUGUAGAAACUGUCGCUGUUGCUCCUCUCAAGUUAGGACCACUGGCAUUUGAUCACGACACUUCCUUUGCUACUAUCGACGUGGAGGUGCUAGGCGGCGACUUUCGCCCGACCACCCCGGGCCAUAGCCCUGGAGCCGGUCACUCUGUUGCACCAACCAGCCACAUGGAUUCUAAAAUACAUUAGAAUUAUUAUUGAUCGUUUUUCAUAAACCACCUAUUAUAAGUCGUUAAUCAUGAUAUAUAUAGUUAGUAACUUAGUUUAGUUAAUGUAUUUAUAUUUUAAAAUGUUCAUAUUACCAAUUGCAUCUUUUAAUUAGAAAUACUGUUAUGCAUAUGUACUUCAAAUCUAUUUAUAAUGUAUUAUUAGUUAUAUGUUAAUUAGCAAAGUUUGGAUUCUUUAUCUUUCUA